UGUUGAGAAUCGUCGAAUUGUAAGGUCGCCAUUUUUAUGAAUACUCGGUUGCAAUUGGUCAAUUCUUACGUUAUGUUACGUCUUACGGUUACUAUUACGGAAAGAAAUUACGUGUGUGUGGCCAGCUUCACUCUCUGUCAGCUGUUGUUUUCUUGAAAAACAAAUCCUCUGAUUGGCCCAUCGGCUGCACUCCGAUAUACGACAGCGACAUACGACGUAUUGUAGAACAGGCUGUAGAGAGUUGACAGCGGGUCGUAGUCAUGAGCGGACGUGUUACGAUUGUAUUGAGACUGAGGCUGUGAACUCGUAUUUCGCUCACUGCGGAAACCCAUUAGUGACGUCUCGACAGCGAAAUUAUUCAGCUUACGAAGAUCCACUCACUUGAAUGAUAAAUACAGCCUCACGAGGUUCGCGUCGGUCUCAAGUGUCAGCACCGCAAACGCGAACUAACCUAUUCAAAGAAAAAAAUUUAGCUCGUCGCAGUGAACAUAUGACUGAGUCGCCUUAUUAAUGCACGACGGAAUAUAAUAUACUAUUUUAAUAUUGCAAAUCUGAAAAUAUGCGAUCAUCUUGAUUUUUAAAUUGAUUUUAUCAUUAUACAAAACGUAAUCUAUAAUGAUUCUAUCAUUGUACAAAACGUCUUGAUUUGUAAAUUGAUUCUAUCAUUAUACGCGUAGAGCAUAAUCACUUAAAAUUUCACGUUCUGUAGUUAAUUGUGUCUUAUAUGAUAAAUCAUCCGUUUAAUAACUCUACGAUAUUUAUGAAUGUUAUAUGUUCUGAGAUUUUAUUAUGUUUACAGCUUCCAUCAAAUGGUUUUUAUCUUAUCGGUAAUGACCCUGAUCGAAUGACUCUCAUCUUAUCAAUAAUAGUAACAUAAAAUAAGAAAUAUAAGUAUAUAAUAAGAAAUAUAAGAAAAGAGAAACACUUUUGUCAUUAUGUCAAUGCAUAUUAAACAUAAUUUUGAUAUUUAUUUUUGCUUUUUAAACAGCUACACAUAGUCGAUAAUGCUAUAUAUAGUCGAUAAUGUUAAAAUUUAAUUUAAUUGUGACGUUGUUAAUGUUUUCUUCAUCGCAGUUUGGUAUCGUGUUAAUGAUUCUUCGUUAUGUUCUCCGAUCGUUAUCAUCAUCAUCGUGUAGCUCAUCGCACGGAUACUGGGCGCAGGUAAUGCAUCAUUCGAUGCAGUGAAAGAUAUUAAUUUGGCUAUUUCUCAAUCUGUAUUACGCAUGCGCAUGGUCUUGUAUACUGUUAUUGCAAAAUUAUUUACACGACCGCGACGGCGGCGACUCUCGGCGAGUCGCCUUAACAUCGCAAUGAAGAAAUCCUAUUGCAAAUUUCACUCGGUGGUUUUUAACCUCUGACCCGGCUCUCACGUUACACCUGUGCGUUAUACACGGAGGAAAGACAAAGAGAGAUAGGCAGAGAUGAUGAAGGAGAGUCAGAGAAAGUGUGAGUGUGUGUGUAUGAGAGAGAGAGAGAGAGAGAGAGAGAGAGAAGUACCUUUCGCUGCUUUACUAUUCUUACCUUCGUUCUUUUUAAAUACGUGGAAUAUGAAUGUAUAUAUCAUUACAUAAUCUUACCGUAUCAAGGAAGUUUGAGAGGUAAUGUGGACUUUGUCGUGUAAGAGAAAUAACGAUUUAUUAGAGACAACGAUUUCAUACAAAUUACUAGUGUCAUUAGUUAUCUAUCGUCACAAUGCGCUUGACCAUUACGAUUAAUAUAUGACCCCUAAUUCCGGAGUUAUACCGUAGUAAGUAUAUUUCUACGUAUUCCUACGUAAGUUCCUUCGUCAAUACGUUGCAACGGUUGUACGAAAAUAUCUAUGCUCUAUUUACUAACUAUCUCACCAAUUUCCUUUACUACAUGCAUCCCUAGUAUCAUUAAAUUACGUUGCUCUUGUAACUUCCAUUUGCAAACGUAAACAUUUCGCACGGAGUGACACUGAGGAAUGUCGUUUGCAAAUAAAGUGUAACUCGCUUGCGACUAUUGCGUCGUUUCCAUCCGAGAUACUGGAGGAUCAGCAUUUGCAUUGUGACGCGACAACAAUGCGCGAUUGUUCCUGCGUGGUAUGACUGCAAUCGUCUCUCAUAUUUCAUGUUCGGGAUGUUUGCCGUAUCGUCGGACACAUGUCAUUCAGAGCGUGAAAGCGUUACCGUGCACGUGGCGCGUUCGCCUGGCGCGGUCACAAUUCGUUUUCCACGCCGUUGUCCCUUCCUCCGCAUUCGAGCGCGCGAAUUUAGCGGAGAGAAGAAAUCGAAUCGGAAAAAUCAAUUCGAUUGUAAGUGACACUUUUACUUCCAGCCGCGCGCAACGAAUUGCUCGCGUGAAACUUCUUCCUGUCGUAAUACACGUAAUCGCAAAUCCGCUCAGGAUUUACAGCUCUUCGAAGCUCGAUCCUUUGAAAAUAUUCGUGAAGGAUCUGGUACUCUCUAUUAGGAUAAAGGAAAGAAGCUGAAACGUCUUUAUGAAGCACUAAAAAUACUAUAUUUUCACAGCCAUAUCGAAAUUGCGUGAUUCGAUUGUCAACGCGCCGGCCACUAUUUCGCAACGUGUUUUUUGCACGAGUCGUACAAGAAACAGCACGUUGUUUGCCAAAACCGUGGAGUGUCACACUACGUGAGUUCUGCGAUCGAGCAAAUUAAAAUUUCCAUUUCGAUUAAUUUAAUAUCAACGACCUUAAUAGUAAUAACGCAGCUAUACUUCACAUACUCAUUUUUUAAUACAUUUUCGAUAGUCGUCUCUUUAGCAAUACAUAAGCCAGAACUCGAAACAUGAUACUGUAGCCAAUCAAAACGACAACGUCGAGCCAAAACAACGGUUUAGCUAAGUCUAGCAUUUCCAGUAUGGUAUUUGGCAUUCGCAAGUGGCAGUAGAUAAUCGAGCAUUGUAAAACCUCACGACCAUUGCCGUAGACACUUUGAACCAAACCGUCGAAGGAGUAUCGAAACGUGUUUAGGUAACUAAGAUAGUACAUAAACUUGGAUAAGUCCUUGAAUAAGACCAAGAUGCCGGUGAAACCUAUCAUGAUGCACACGAUAAUGGAUCCGAAGAAAGUUCCGUUGAUGGGAUUGAAUAUUGAGCCCAACCAAAGGCCCAUGCCUUCGGAAGCGAAGGCGGUUAAGAUGAAAAUGAGCAGACACAUGAAGAAGCGGGAGAACUCGAGCGGUUGACUACUCAUCAAGUAGGAGAUGAACGUGUAAAUAAAGGUGGAGACCAUUUGUAACGGUAUUGUGGAUACUAGCACGGCUAUAUAAUAGGUUUUCAGUUUGUACCAAUUGUUGAAGCACUCUUUACGCAGAAUGGUAACCUCCAAAGGAAACUUGAGUACGGCCGAUAUCAUGGUGGUGUAAUAUAAGUACACUAAGCUUAUCAGAAAAUAAGUGAGGUUGCUGAAUGUCUUUUUACCAUCAUCGCCGGCGUGCUCAUAAAACAGUCCUAACAGCACCCCUACGAGGAAGUGCAUGAUCAGUUUCAAAUGUAUCGUCACGUGGUCACGAUACAUCAAGGUUGCGUAGCGCGACAGUAACACCCAGAACCGAUUCAGCUCUGUGGGCGGGGUUAUCGUCUGAUUGUCGUUGGAUAUGUCCUGGCUCAUGUCGUGUGAUGACUUGAUCCAACGUGUUUCAUCGUUUGAUUCAGCGAAACACUUGGUUGCCGCGAUCAACUGUUCGUCGUAAUUACCGUACUCUUUGGACACCACCUCCAGCAUGUAGUCCGCAGGGUUGUGAUACUUGGGACACACGAGACCUUGCUGGGCGAAAAAGUCAACUGUGUCGCUAGGCGGGAAGCGAUACAUGCAGUGACCGUCCACCACCAGAUAGAUGUGAUCGAACAUCUCAUAAAGCGUUGCGCUGGGUUGAUGUAUGGUGCAGACGAUCGUUCUGCCAGUUUGCGCCAGUGUUUUUAAUGCGGUCACGCACUGGACAGACGCCAAAGAGUCCAGGCCUGUGGUCGGCUCGUCCAGGAAUAUGAGCAUUGGAUUAUCAAUAAGCUCCAAGGCGAUGCUCAGUCUCUUUUUCUGGCCGCCGCUUAGCCGGUCCACUCGCGUAUCCUUGGUGUGUGACAACGUCAACGUGUUUAAGAUACCGUCGAUCAGCAUCUGCCUUGACUUGUGCGAGAUACUCUUGCUGAUCUUCAGGUAGCUCGCAAUCAUCAUGAUCUCCUGGGUGGUGAAGUAGCCGUGCAAACUGUCCAUCUGCUGAAUGUAACGCAGCUGUUUUUUGAAAGUAUCGCGAUUCUGCUUAUUGCCUCUGCUGAAGUACUCCACCGUUCCCGUGUACAACCCUUCUUGGAAGCCGCUCAAUAUGUUCAGCAACGUCGACUUGCCCGCACCGGACGGUCCCAUGAUAGCCGUAAGUUCGGUAGAUCGGAAGAAUCCGCUCAGGCCUUUGAGGAUCUGUUUCUUCGGCCUGCGAAAUCCGGUCUGGAUCGCGUACGAUAUAUCUCUGAACUUAACAUCGAUCGUUUGACUGCACAUUAUGUUCGUGAAAGUGAGUUUGUGCUGGAUUUUACGGUUUGAUUGGUUCUAAGUUACCUCGGGUAUUUUGCGCAAUCCGUCUGAUGGUAAUUACGCUUUUGUAAUCUGUUCUAACCUUCGUUUAUCGACAAUUUACUUGUGUAGCACAAGACUAGAUGCGCACAAUGUUAGAUACAGCCACGCACUGGUAAAUAGGGCGAAUUAUUUAUAUCUCAUCCGUGCGCACAGCAGAUACUCAACUGUGAUACGAAUGCGUACUGCUUCGCGUUAAACACGGAGACGAACGCAAAUACAGUUCGUGUCAGCCUUUCUCAUUCCCGGGGGUUCUCCUUGUGUUAGCGGAUGACAUAAGUUUUACGAAUUUUUCUUAUCUUCACACUUUUUACCACAUUGUAAACUCACAUGGCCUAUAUAGAUUAAGUGCUGAGUAUUAUUACAGGUCUAAUGUCUAAUAAUCAUUCGUCAGCAAGGUUUGAAUAAUUGUGAACAGUGAUAACUAGUUAUCUGAAAUCGACUGACGUAAGAAGAUUAACGUUCUUUUCUUCUUACAAGCUUUUUUUUGAGAGUGAUUAUCCGUAGCGCAUUUUGACCGUUUGCAAAAAAAUCCUCUUAAUGUUUCCCUUUUUUCAUCUAAUUAGCGUUUAACAUGCAGUAUUUUUGUCAAAUCUCUUCGAAGGAAUUCAGCAGCGAUUGUGGCUUCAAUUUGGUAAUCAGCGCUACAAUUUUUCACGUAUGCAUUUUUUUUCGUUCGUUUCGUUCACCUGCAAAUGAAGCAUUACGUUAUUGAAUGUUACAUGUUCAUACAUUCGCGUAUAUGAUAUACACACGCGUAACAACAUUGAUUAACGAAAAAGAAGAAAGAGAGAAGAAAUCAAUACUUAAUUUUUAUGUUUCAGCAAUUUUAUUUGUCUCGUCUGAGUCAAAAUUUUAGCCUUAUACUUUGAAUUCUACAAUACAGUAGGAGUUAAUACGCUCUAGCUACUAAUAGCUAGUUUACGUGAUUAGCAUAAUUAGCGCAAAUAUAAGCAAUUAUUAGACAGGAUAUAAACAUAGGAGCGCAUUUACUUGGAGAAAUGAAAGAACGCUUUAAAUAAUUACUGAACAAAUUUAAGAAUAUAAGGAGAGAAAUACGCGCUUUGAAUUCUUGGUUAAACGAAUUCGAUAUCAUUAUUAUCCUCCUAACAUAUAGUUUAAAUAUUUGCUCCAAUAUUUGUGUUAAGCUCUUGCUUGUCUACAGAUAUGUUUGAUUUAAAUUGUACAUUUUGAAGAGCGUGUGUAUAUAGGAUUCGAGCUCCUUGACUCAUCUCAUUCACCGAGAUACAAGUGAUUUACCAAAAUACCUUGUGUUACUUUGAACACUGAAUUAAUGUUCCAUCAAAAUUCGUUUCGAAAUAAUCAGAAAAAUUAUCGCUCCGACUAACAAUUUAUCUAUUUUAGAAGCAUUUCUGUCAAUAUCAAAUUGGUCACGUUCUUCGCGAACACACUCAACUUUGCGAUGUCAACGAGUUCGUUACUUGUACGUCUCUGGGUCUUUUUCCUAUAUUUCCUUAAGUGCUCGAUAUUUUGCUAUAAAUGUUCAUGAUCAACAUUAUUGCAUGGAAAAAACAAGUCCAUUAGCGUUAAUUUUUAUGUUACUUAGUUGGAAUUUAUAUUAAUUAGAAACAUUAGAUGAGAAACUCGGUUGUAGGAUUCAUAGAAAGAUUCCUGCAGAAGGUUUUUACUCAACAAAUUACUCUCAAUUAUCUCAACCGAAUGAAAUUAAUGAAUAUUCAGACAAAUAUAUCCGAUCAUAAAGAGAACGAUUUGUUGAAUCAAAUAAACGUUUCUUUGGAAUAAUCUCAACAAAUUUUUUGGCUAACACAACAAAAAUAUUAUUUUGAAACUAAGCCGCAAAUAAAUAUUUUUGUUGUGUCAAACAAAAUUUUGUUCGAUUAAUCAAAAAAUUCGUUUGGAUCAUUCCAAAGAAGAGUUUAUUUGAUUCAACCAAAUCGUUCUCUCUGUAUAAUAAUAGAAACGUUAUUCCUUGUCAGCGAGAGGUUUUCGUCUGACCUCCAUUUGAUUACUCGACUCGAGAUCUUUUCUUCCGUGUGCAAACCGGUCGUACACAUUUUAUAAAUCUUCAUAAAUAAAAAAUCUCGAUUACCAUUUGCGAGCGCAUGAAAGGUCACUGAAUGUGACCUUUCUCGUCGAUUAAGGAUCACAGUUUCCGUGUUUUGCAAUGAAAUACUUGGACAACAUCUCAUAUUGGUACUCUAUAAAGAAUACCAGACAAGACAAAAAAUAAUAAUGAGCGCGUGAACAUGAUAAACUCAAAUGGCACUAAUUAUUAUGCAAAUGGUAAGUCAACCGGCAAAAUCGCGACGUCGAUUUAUAUGCAAUCGAUUAAUAUAAGUCCAAGAAGUCUUCGUACAUUAGGAAUUUUCACAGAAAAUAGUUUAUUUCUAUAUAAUAAUGAAUAGUAAAUAAAUAAUCGUUUUUACAUAUGAUAAAGUCUCUCUUUCUUAAUACUAUACCAGAAACAAAACCUACAAAUUAAUAAAUAUUAUAAUAUUAUACUCAAAAAUGAUAAAAGAACGAAACAUGGUAAUUUAGUAAUGCGCAGAAAGUGUUCGUACUCCAAUGAUAUCUAUGAUAAAAACUUAUCUUAGGUAAGAAACAUACAUCGUAUGUUCUUUGUCUAUUUAUAUUUGGGCCUUGUUCGGUUAUAUAUAUUGACGCGAAAUUUCACAAUCGUUCUCUACUUAGUGAAAAUGGGUCGAAUAAGAAGCGAAACUAUCGCGGAGGAAAGACAACUUAUUAUUAGACUGCAUAAUCAAUGCAAGUCUUUAAAUGAAAUAUCAAAACUGAUUGGGAGACCGCGUUCUACAAUACACAGUAUUAUUAACUUCAUUAACCGCUUUGGCAAGACCAGAACAGUUAAAAAAUCAGUGCAAGAAGUGGACGCCCGUCUGUCUUAUCGGAAAACGACAGGCGAUUUAUCAUACGUCAAAUUAAAAAAGAUCCGAAAACUAGUGCCCCCAGGAUAGUUGCAGAAUUGCUGAAAAAGCAAGUCAACUUGUACAAUGAGGAACAUUACACACAAAGAGGGAUACCAUGGACGAGUAGCCAGAAAGAAGUGCUGGAUUAAUAAGACCAACUGCAAGAAGCGUUUAAAGUUCGCUCGUGAGUAUCAAACAAAAUCUCUAGAAUUUUGGAAUAAGAUCAUUUUUACUAAUGAAAGAAAGUUCAAUUUAUUUGGAUCGGACGGGAACCAAAAGGUGUGGCGUCAGAAAAAUGCUGAGCUUCAGCCGAAAAAUUUGAUACUCACUGUAAAACACGGAAGUGGCUUUGUGCUACUUUGGAGCUGCAUGA